rnacentral:lncRNA from 1 species
GCGAGCAGGCGCGUGUGACGUCGGGAGGCGCCGCGGCUCCUCGGCCGCCCCACUCGGUGGUCCCCUGUCUGGAUCCAAACUGCUGACUGGCUGACCCGAGUGGUCACAUUUGCCCUCUGGGGCUUUUGAAAACCUUAAAUCAAAAUUGCUUUUGAAUCUGACAACUCCUGAGGCUACUUUCGCGGCCUCGGGGCUGUUUCAUAUAAGGACGCGAGUUUUCCUGAUCAGGUCUGUCGGCCACGUUACGAUUUCCAAUUUGCGAUCCAUCAGUUACUUCCAUUGGGUCUUCAGCCCCCAGGGACUGUGGAUCCUAGACCCCGCGGAGAAGCCCGUGGACUGGAGCUGUGUCAGCUCUGAUGGAACAAAAACGGAGGCACAGAGAGGUCAAUUGAUUGGUCUAAUGACACAGAUCUAGCAAGUGGUGGAACCAGGACUGAAUCCAGGAGAAUCUGGAAGACUACUCUGCCAAGACAUCUCAAAAAGUGUGUGUCCGGAAUUGGUGGGUUCUUGGUCUCACUGACUUCAAGAAUGAAGCCGCGGACCCUUGCGGAACUGUGAAGACUAGAGUGACCUUGGAGAUCUCAUCUGGAAGAUGGUAGAACUGCUAUCAGCCUGGCUUCCCAAAUGACCUCCUGGAUCACAGCUACCCAUGGCCUGAAAUGUUGACCUUGGAGUUGUUGCAUAGGAAAGAAAUAAACUUCUUUGUUC